rnacentral:rRNA from 1 species
GGAUCCUUACGGUAGGCAGCAAUUGGGAAUUAUGCACCAUGGGCUGAAGCCUGAUGCAGCAACGCCGCGUGCGGGAUGACGGCCUUCGGGGUGUAAACCGCUUUCGCCUGUGACGAAGCGUGAGUGACGGUAAUGGGUAAAGAAGCACCGGCUAACUACGUGCCAGCAGCCGCGGUGAUACGUAGGGUGCGAGCGUUGUCCGGAUUUAUUGGGCGUAAAGGGCUCGUAGGUGGUUGAUCGCGUCGGAAGUGUAAUCUUGGGGCUUAACCCUGAGCGUGCUUUCGAUACGGGUUGACUUGAGGAAGGUAGGGGAGAAUGGAAUUCCUGGUGGAGCGGUGGAAUGCGCAGAUAUCAGGAGGAACACCAGUGGCGAAGGCGGUUCUCUGGGCCUUUCCUGACGCUGAGGAGCGAAAGCGUGGGGAGCGAACAGGCUUAGAUACCCUGGUAGUCCACGCUGUAAACGGUGGGUACUAGGUGUGGGGUCCAUUCCACGGGUUCCGUGCCGUAGCUAACGCUUUAAGUACCCCGCCUGGGGAGUACGGCCGCAAGGCUAAAACUCAAAGGAAUUGACGGGGCCCCGCACGAGCGGCGGAGCAUGCGGAUUAAUUCGAUGCAACGCGCAGAACCUUACCUGGGUUUGACAUGGAUCGGGAGUGCUCAGAGAUGGGUGUGCCUCUUUUGGGGUCGGUUCACAGGUGGUGCAUGGCUGUCGUCAGCUCGUGUCGUGAGAUGUUGGGUUAAGUCCCGCAACGAGCGCAACCCUUGUUCACUGUUGCCAGCACGUUAUGGUGGGGACUCAGUGGAGACCGCCGGGGUCAACUCGGAGGAAGGUGGGGAUGACGUCAAGUCAUCAUGCCCCUUAUGUCCAGGGCUUCACGCAUGCUACAAUGGCUGGUACAGAGAGUGGCGAGCCUGUGAGGGUGAGCGAAUCUCGGAAAGCCGGUCUCAGUUCGGAUUGGGGUCUGCAACUCGACCUCAUGAAGUCGGAGUCGCUAGUAAUCGCAGAUCAGCAACGCUGCGGUGAAUACGUUGGGCGGGGCUUGUACACACCGCCCGU